GACGAACGCUGGCGGCGUGCUUAACACAUGCAAGUCGAACGGAAAGGCCCUGCUUUUGUGGGGUGCUCGAGUGGCGAACGGGUGAGUAACACGUGAGUAACCUGCCCUUGACUUUGGGAUAACUUCAGGAAACUGGGGCUAAUACCGGAUAGGAGCUCCUGCUGCAUGGUGGGGGUUGGAAAGUUUCGGCGGUUGGGGAUGGACUCGCGGCUUAUCAGCUUGUUGGUGGGGUAGUGGCUUACCAAGGCUUUGACGGGUAGCCGGCCUGAGAGGGUGACCGGCCACAUUGGGACUGAGAUACGGCCCAGACUCCUACGGGAGGCAGCAGUGGGGAAUAUUGCAGAAUGGGCGGAAGCCUGAUGCGGCAACGCCGCGUGCGGGAUGACGGCCUUCGGGUUGUAAACCGCUUUCGCCUGUGACGAAGCGUGAGUGACGGUAAUGGGUAAAGAAGCACCGGCUAACUACGUG
rnacentral:rRNA from 1 species